rnacentral:rRNA from 1 species
GAUGAACGCUGGCGGCGUGCCUAAUACAUGCAAGUCGAGCGAACAGACGAGGAGCUCGCUCCUCUGACGUUAGCGGCGGACGGGUGAGUAACACGUGGAUAACCUACCUAUAAGACUGGGAUAACUUCGGGAAACCGGAGCUAAUACCGGAUAAUAUAUUGAACCGCAUGGUUCAAUAGUGAAAGACGGUUUUGCUGUCACUUAUAGAUGGAUCCGCGCCGCAUUAGCUAGUUGGUAAGGUAACGGGUUACCAAGGCAACGAUGCGUAGCCGACCUGAGAGGGUGAUCGGCCACACUGGAACUGAGACACGGUCCAGACUCCUACGGGAGGCAGCAGUAGGGAAUCUUCCGCAAUGGGCGAAAGCCUGACGGAGCAACGCCGCGUGAGUGAUGAAGGUCUUCGGAUCGUAAAACUCUGUUAUUAGGGAAGAACAAAUGUGUAAGUAACUAUGCACGUCUUGACGGUACCUAAUCAGAAAGCCACGGCUAACUACGUG